ACGUAGGGAGCGAGCGUUGUCCGGAAUUACUGGGCGUAAAGGGCGCGUAGGCGGGGGUUUAAGUAAGGUGUGAAAACUUCGGGCUUAACCUGGAGACUGCACUUUAAACUGGAUCUCUUGAGGGCAGGAGAGGAAAGUGGAAUUCCUAGUGUAGCGGUGAAAUGCGUAGAUAUUAGGAGGAACACCAGUGGCGAAGGCGACUUUCUGGACUGUACCUGACGCUGAGGCGCGAAAGCGUGGGGAGCGAACAG
rnacentral:rRNA from 1 species